AGCGAACGCUGGCGGCAGGCCUAACACAUGCAAGUCGAACGAAGUCUUCGGACUUAGUGGCGGACGGGUGAGUAACACGUGGGAACGUGCCUUUAGGUUCGGAAUAACUCAGGGAAACUUGUGCUAAUACCGAAUGUGCCCUUCGGGGGAAAGAUUUAUCGCCUUUAGAGCGGCCCGCGUCCGAUUAGCUAGUUGGUGAGGUAAAGGCUCACCAAGGCUACGAUCAGUAGCUGGUCUGAGAGGAUGACCAGCCACAUUGGGACUGUGACACGGCCCAAACUCCGACGGGAGGCAGCAGUGGGGAAUCUUGCGCAAUGGGCGAAAGCCUGACGCAGCCAUGCCGCGUGGAUGAUGAAGGUCUUAGGAUUGUAAAAUCCUUUCACCGGUGAAGAUAAUGACUGUAGCCGGAGAAGAAGCCCCGGCUAACUUCGUGCCAGCCGCCGCCGUAAGAC
rnacentral:rRNA from 1 species